rnacentral:rRNA from 1 species
ACGCGUAGGGAAUCUGCCUAGUAGUGGGGGACAACCUGUGGAAACGCAGGCUAAUACCGCAUAAGCCCUGAGGGGGAAACGGAGGGGGAUCUUCGGACCUUUUCGCGUAUUAGAUGAGCCUGCGUGAGAUUUAGCUAGUUGGUGAGGUAAAGGCUCACCAAGGCGACGAUCUCUAGCUGGUCUGAGAGGAUGAUCAGCCACACUGGGGACUGAGACACGGGCCCAGACUCCUACGGGAAGGCAGCAGUCGGGGAAGUAUUGGACAAAUGGGCGCAAGCCUGAUCCAGCCAUACCGCGUGU